GGACCAAGUACUACUCCACAGCUCCAGCUCUUGGUGGCAUGGACCUGGCUUACAAUCACCGUAUGCGGGACACAGCUCCUCUUCUGACUGCAGCGCACUCGGCCCGACGUGACCUCCACCCCUAGUGCCUGCGAUCUGACUGCCCGACGUGACCUCCACCCCUAGUGCCUGCGAUCUGACUCUGCCCGACGUGACCUCCACCCCUAGUGCCUGUGAUCUGACUCUGCCCGACGUGACCUCCACCCCUAGUGCCUGUGAUCUGACUCUGCCCGACGUGACCUCCACCCCUAGUGCCUGCGAUCUGACUCUGCCCGACGUGACCUCCACCCCUAGUGCCUGCGAUCUGACUCUGCCCGACAUGACCUCCACCCCUAGUGCCUGCGAUCUGACUGCCCGACGUGACCUCCACCCCUAGUGCCUGUGAUCUGACUCUGCCCGACGUGACCUCCACCCCUAGUGCCUGUGAUCUGACUCUGCCCGACGUGACCUCCACCCCUAGUGCCUGUGAUCUGACUC
rnacentral:lncRNA from 1 species